UUAAUUUAUUUGUCACAUAACUUCUGUACUUAAGUUGCAGCACUUCCGGAGUUAUUCUAACCCAAACCGCGAUCUCUUCCUAAAGCUAAGUCGCUUUUUUUUGUUGCCUAAGCCUAACCAAGUUGAUCUAUUCCUAAACCUAAAUAAGCUGUUUUAUUAUGGAAAGACUGGAACGGAAAUUGUCACGUGCGUCACGUGUUGUUGGACAUUCGUAGGAAAAAGGACAAAAAAUACGUUAUUGAAAGUCGUGCUGAGUGUCAC